rnacentral:rRNA from 1 species
AUUGAACGCUGGCGGCACGCUUUACACAUGCAAGUCGAACGGCAGCGCGGGCUUCGGCCUGGCGGCGAGUGGCGAACGGGUGAGUAAUACAUCGGAACGUGCCCCGUAGUGGGGGAUAGCUCGGCGAAAGCCGGAUUAAUACCGCAUACGACCUGAGGGGGAAAGCGGGGGAUCUUCGGACCCCGCGCUAUUGGAGAGGCCGAUGGCAGAUUAGCUAGUUGGUGGGGUAAAGGCCUACCAAGGCGACGAUCUGUAGCUGGUCCGAGAGGACGACCAGCCACACUGGGACUGAGACACGGCCCAGACUCCUACGGGAGGCAGCAGUGGGGAAUUUUGGACAAUGGGCGAAAGCCUGAUCCAGCAAUGCCGCGUGUGUGAUGAAGGCCUUCGGGUUGUAAAGCACUUUUGGCGGGAACGAAAAGGACUGUGCCAAUACCACGGUUCGAUGACGGUACCCGCAGAAUAAGCACCGGCUAACUACGUG